ensembl:lncRNA LINC02362 long intergenic non-protein coding RNA 2362
AGAACCCCAGCUGCAAGUGAGACUGGAAAAAUGGCUCUCAGAGUUCCCGCCUCUGCAGUAGAGGAAGACACUCCAGAAGGAGUUGAGAAUGGGUGCUGAGUGCCUCUUCAGGAUGUCUGUCACACCUCAGGAAACCUGCCAGGAAUACCAAAGGGAGUGAAAAAUCCAAGGGCCCACCUGGAUAAUCCAUGAUGAUCUCAUCUCAAGAUCCUUAACUUAAUGACAUCUGCAGAGACUGGUUUAUCAAAUAAGGGACUGUGGCUAUAUCGCUGACCUCAAGAAAACCUGCGGACAAAAUCUGCUAAAGAAGUAUCAGCAUCUAUUUCAAAAGUUAGCCAUUAUUUUAAGAAGACUGUGCUGGAAGACGGGUAUUUAACACAAACAGAUGCAAAAGAUACGGGGUUUCACCGUGUUGACCAGACUGAUUUUGAACUUCUGGGCUCAAUCAGUCCACCUGCCUCGGCCUCCCAAAGUGCUGAGAUUAUAGGUGUGAGCCCCUGCGCCUGGCCAGGGAUGCCGUUCUUCACUCUCCAAUUGAGCAGCCAUUAUAUAUCAGGCACUAUAGGAGUUCCUGGAGGAUACUGGUCUGAAGUUAGCAUGAUCUUGACUCAAGAAACUUAUAGUCCUGAUAAGAACUUCCACCAGAAUUCCAGAUAAGGCAGCACAGGCCUUGCUGUUUGCCCAUGCCCAUGCGGUCAGCUCUCUUGGGUACCGUGGCAUGCAGAUGCAGACACUCACCCAAGACACCCUGUAGUGCUGAUUACUGGCUGAAGACACUGAAUAUCUGAUAUAGUUUGGAUGUUUGACCCCUCCAAAUCUCAUGUUGAAACUAGAUUCCCAGUGUUGGAGGUGGGGCCCGGUGGGAGGUGUUUGGAUUGUGGGAUUGGAUCCCUUAUGGCCAUCUUGGUGCCAUCCUUGUGGUAAUGAGCAAGUUCUUUAUCUACUAGUUCCUGAGCGAUCUGGUUGCUAAAAAGAGUCUAGCAGCAUCAUCCGCUCCCUCUCCUCCUCUCUUACCAUGUGAUAUGCACACACCGGCUACCCUUCACCUACUGCUCCAGCACCACGCUUCAUGUACAGCCUGUAGAACUCUGAGCCAAAUAAACCUCUUUUCUUUAUAAA